rnacentral:lncRNA from 1 species
AUUUUGUAUAUGAUGCAGCUGCAAGAUGUACCCAGACAUGAGCUACACAGAGCAAACAACAAGUGAGACUCUUGUUAUGGGAGUUGCAUCUGGUAAGACUCAAUUUGAAGGUGCUGAAAUGGGUUUUGGAGCUGAGAAUGAUGGCUGCAAGUGUGGAUCAAACUGCACCUGCAACCCUUGCACCUGCAAAUGAAGUGGAUAAUGAAAUCUUCAAGCAAAGAUGGUCCUUAAUUAUCUCAUUAGUGGCAGGAUUAAUAAUAACAACAAUAUAGCUUAUGGUUAUUAUAUAUUGAGUUAUGUGUUAUGUGUA